GAUGAACGCUGGCGGCGUGCCUAAUACAUGCAAGUCGAGCGAACAGACGAGGAGCUUGCUCCUCUGACGUUAGCGGCGGACGGGUGAGUAACACGUGGAUAACCUACCUAUAAGACUGGGAUAACUUCGGGAAACCGGAGCUAAUACCGGAUAAUAUAUUGAACCGCAUGGUUCAAUAGUGAAAGACGGUUUUGCUGUCACUUAUAGAUGGAUCCGCGCCGCAUUAGCUAGUUGGUAGGGUAACGGCUUACCAAGGCAACGAUGCGUAGCCGACCUGAGAGGAGGAUCGGCCACACUGGAACUGAGACACGGCCCAGACUCCUACGGGAGGCAGCAGAAGGGAAUCUUCGGCAAGGGGCGAAAGCCUGACGGAGCAACGCCGCGUGAGUGAUGAAGGCCUUCGGAUCGUAAAACUCUGUUAUUAGGGAAGAACAAAUGUGUAAGUAACUAUGCACGUCUUGACGGUACCUAAUCAGAAAGCCACGGCUAACUACGUG
rnacentral:rRNA from 1 species